rnacentral:tRNA from 1 species
GGUUGUGGCUCAAUGGUAGAGCACUUGCCUAGCAUGUAUGAAGCACUGGGUUCAAUUCUCAGCACCA